rnacentral:rRNA from 1 species
UACGGAGGGUGCAAGCGUUAUCCGGAUUCACUGGGUUUAAAGGGUGCGUAGGCGGGUAUAUAAGUCAGUGGUGAAAGCUCCGGGCUUAACUUGGAAACUGCCAUUGAUACUGUAUAUCUUGAAUGUCGUUGAGGUAAGCGGAAUGUUGCAUGUAGCGGUGAAAUGCUUAGAUAUGUUACAGAACACCAAUUGUGAAGACAGCUUACUAAGCGAUAAUUGACGCUGAGGCACGAAAGCGUGGGGAGCAAACAGG